UAGGGAAUCUUCGGCAAUGGGGGGAACCCUGACCGAGCAACGCCGCGUGAGUGAAGAAGGUUUUCGGAUCGUAAAGCUCUGUUGUUAAGGAAGAACGAGUGUGAGAAUGGAAAGUUCAUGCUGUGACGGUACCUAAUCAGAAAGCCACGGCUAACUACGUGCCAGCAGCCGCGGUAAUACGUAGGUGGCAAGCGUUAUCCGGAAUUAUUGGGCGUAAAGCGCGCGUAGGCGGUUUUUUAAGUCUGAUGUGAAAGCCCACGGCUCAACCGUGGAGGGUCAUUGGAAACUGGAAAACUUGAGUGCAGAAGAGGAAAGUGGAAUUCCAUGUGUAGCGGUGAAAUGCGCAGAGAUAUGGAGGAACACCAGUGGCGAAGGCGACUUUCUGGUCUGUAACUGACGCUGAUGUGCGAAAGCGUGGGGAUCAAACAGG
rnacentral:rRNA from 1 species